rnacentral:lncRNA from 1 species
GCUCUCUCCCAAAGAAGCUGGUCUUUAGCCUGUGUUGAGAAGCAACCUUUCGGAGGCCAGAUGGAGCUGGGGGGCACCCUUCUUCAAAUAAUGGCUUUUAAUUCUCAAACUAGAGUGUUUCAGAUUACAGAAGAAACCGGUUCUCUUCGCGUCCUUAUCCUUGUGAUGUAGCAUUCCACUUGCAAAGAAAAAUAUGCUGCCCCAGAAGAGGAUUUCCUUUUUAUCACUGGUUUUGGGUGGAUUUGAUUAAGGUGUUCCUUGGUGAAGUUUUCUGCAUGUUUCUUGUUCUUAGGAUAAUCAUAUUUCUGUAAUAUUUGAAGUUGAUGGUUUCCAUGGAGUUUCUAAAUCUUUCAUCCAGUAUGUUUUAAAUAUCUUUGUCUCUCUUCUCCACUACCUGCCCUUCAGGGAUUCCAUUUAGCCCU